AAGAGACAGCAGCAGCCACGGGAAUACGGAGGGCGCGAGCGUUACCCGGAUUUACUGGGCGUAAAGGGCGUGUAGGCGGCCUGGGGCGUCCCAUGUGAAAGGCCACGGCUCAACCGUGGAGGAGCGUGGGAUACGCUCAGGCUAGAGGGUGGGAGAGGGUGGUGGAAUUCCCGGAGUAGCGGUGAAAUGCGCAGAUACCGGGAGGAACGCCGAUGGCGAAGGCAGCCACCUGGUCCACUUCUGACGCUGAGGCGCGAAAGCGUGGGGAGCAAACCGGAUUAGAUACCCCUGUAGUCCCUGUCUCUUAUAA
rnacentral:rRNA from 1 species